UACGUAGGGUCCGAGCGUUGUCCGGAAUUAUUGGGCGUAAAGGGCUCGUAGGCGGUUUGUCGCGUCGGGCGUGAAAACACGGGGCUUAACCCCGUGCCUGCUUCCGAUACGGGCAGACUAGAGGUAUGCAGGGGAGAACGGAAUUCCUGGUGUAGCGGUGAAAUGCGCAGAUAUCAGGAGGAACACCGGUGGCGAAGGCGGUUCUCUGGGCAUGUCCUGACGCUGAGGAGCGAAAGUGUGGGGAGCGAACAGG
rnacentral:rRNA from 1 species